rnacentral:rRNA from 1 species
UACGGGGGGGGCAAGCGUUGUUCGGAAUUACUGGGCGUAAAGGGCUCGUAGGCGGCCCGCUAAGUCAGACGUGAAAUCCCUCGGCUUAACCGGGGAACUGCGUCUGAUACUGGUGGGCUGGAAUCCGGGAGAGGGACGUGGAAUUCCAGGUGUAGCGGUGAAAUGCGUAGAUAUCUGGAGGAACACCGGUGGCGAAGGCGGCGUCCUGGACCGGUAUUGACGCUGAGGAGCGAAAGCCAGGGGAGCAAACGGG